AACUUUCAACAACGGAUCUCUUGGUUCCCGCAUCGAUGAAGAACGCAGCGAAACGCGAUAGUUAUGUGAUUGCAGAAUUCAGUGAAUCAUCGAGUCUUUGAACGCACAUUGCGCCCAUUGGUAUUCCGAUGGGCAUGUCUGUUUGAGCGUCAUU
rnacentral:rRNA from 1 species